UACUCGUAUAGCUCAGAUGGUAGAGCGGCAUCUUUACACGUUGCUGGUCAGGCGUUCGAGUCGCCUUGCGAGUACCAA
rnacentral:tRNA from 1 species